AGACAACACAAAACUUGAAAAAACCAACAACAAAAACACUUAGAAAAAUGAGGGAAAAGAAUAAACAAACAAAAGAAAACAGUGAGAAAAGUAAAGAGAGAAAAUCAAAGAAGAAAACUAGAGAAAAAGACAUGCGGAGAAAAGAGUGUUGAGUUGAAGUUGGGUUUUCGUUUGAGUUUUUGGUGGCGGUACUUCUUUAUUCGAUAUAAUUUAUCAAACAGGUUCUUGUCAAAUCUGUACUACUUAUUUUUAUAAGUUUUGUUUUGAAUCGAAAUAUGAAUGAAGUUAUUUCAAGGGUUG
rnacentral:lncRNA from 1 species